rnacentral:sRNA from 1 species
AAGGAUGAGAAGCUUCGACUAAGGUUCGACUCGAGCGAAGCGAGAGAACGUUGCCGCAGGCAACGGCCCGAAGGGCGAGGAGCGAUAGCGACGAGUUAUCCUUCCCCCACCACUG